CUCCUCAGGCCUCCAGACCCGAAACAGGGCAGGACUACUUCAACAGAGAGAGAGCGGAGGGGCUUUGGGCUGUUCGCUGAACACUAAUGACAGAGAGACGGAGAGAGAGAGACAGAGACAGAGAGAUGGACGGACAGACUGAGAGGGAGAGACAGAGAGACAGACAGACUGAGACAGAGACAGACAGAUGGACAGAAUUAAUCAGUGAACAGUUUUCCCUGUGAGAAUUUAACAAGCUGACAUGCUGGAAGCUCUCCCGCGAGAGCAAAACUGAUCUGUCCAACCGGUAUCAGAGUAAUUGUCAAAUUCCAUUUUGUAGCAUUUGCCCGGUCAUGUUGGUUGAAUUGUUGUUUUUCUAAGGCUGUACUGUGCACGUAAUGUUCGUUAGAAUUUGAUUAUGGGACACAGGAAGCAUAAACUGUGCAUAUUAUUUAAAUAGUUGCCUUGAAAGAGGGUUUCUUGGAUUGGAAAGUGGAAAUAUGGGUUGAAUUUCUUUGUUUUAACUGGCAUGAACGAGAAGUGCCUCUAUUUUGUCUUUGGCACGCUGAGCUUGAUUGCAAAUCUCAUCAAUGAAUGUAAAAAGCUUGGCUUCCGGGCAACGGACCUUCAUCAGAGCAUUAAGGUGAGUCCACAAGUAUGCUUUGAUCCUUUCGUGCGCUUCCCCAGAGCGUAGCUCAGUCUGCCGCCCCGGGGCGGAGCCGGGCUCAGCCUGAGGCUGUUUAGCGGGUCCAGCUCGUCCAGGCGUUUCGCGGUAAUGUGGCGGUGGGGAGUCUCAGACGGGUUGUUAAAGGUUUAAUUACGCCGGCGGGCUCCAGCAGACCGCCCUUUUCUCUUCGUCUGACUCCUCGGCGAACGCGCCGGCCGAGACGCCGCGGCAGCCGCGCCUCAUCGCCAGAACUCGCGCGAGCGGGCCGGUUCGGUGUUGGCGGUUCUGAAACUGCUGGCCGGGGGGCCGUUUGCGGGUCCCGGAGGGGCUGAAGCAGGCCGUGAGAUGACGGGGGGUUUACAUGAAGGGGGGUUAAAAAAAAACAGUUCUAUUUUUCAUACACUGAAUAUUUACAACAGGGAAGUCAGACUGCAGAAGUGUUUUAUGGCAGUGACUCCAAGCUGUCGGCCAGGCUUUAAGUUUGUCACGGGAUGACUGAUUCACUGCAGGCCAAUGGGUGAACACAGCACUCUAUUUGUGCACUGCAGCGGAGCACUGAGGUCCUUCCCUCUCUGGGCAACCUCACGGUCCAUCAUGUGACACCCUACAGGCCCGCCUGUAAGGGCACAGUGUGUGCAGGCUGGUUUAACUACCAGGCCCGGGGGCCCAUCCCUAACCCUAAUCCAAACCAUAACCCUAACCCAGCAGCCCUCAUUUAAAGCCCCUCUACUCGCUCGGGCUAUUUCAUGUCAUACUGCUUCAAAACACGAUUGAGUUGCAGUGUCUGGUUUCAAGGGUUAUUUUGAAACCGUCACUGUACAGCCUGUGAUUCGCCCUCCACCAUGAAGAAAUCGUGUCUAAAUGCAGCUUUUGGGUGGCUGUUUAUUUCACUCAAGGAAAAAUACCAGAAACCCACAAUCGCUGUUGAAAUUCUAUCCUGUUUUUAAGCACUGUUUUGUUUAACGGCGGUUUCCACAGCUUAAUUCUCGCCAUGGUUAGCGCUGUGCCUCUGAGAUGGCCGAUAAGCCCAGCUAAUCUCAGGCUUGAUCCCUGUGCUGAAGCUAGCGCAGUCUUUAAAAGCAUUAUUGAAUUACAGUUCUCCAUUUGAGGUGAUUACAUGUAGCUGGUAAUUCCAGGCAGCAUCUCUUAAUGAAAAUAUAGUGGUAUUGCAAACAUCAUCAGCAAAAAAAAAGGAGAUACAUUUCAUUAAAUGUUAAAUAUCUACUGUGUAUUUUGUAAUAUAUAUUUUUCAUGAGCACUGUGAUAUAUUUGUGGUUUGUUUACCUGAAAUAAGAGGUACAGUAUAUAUUUUGAAUGAUUUGCUAGUUUGCUGUGGGGGGGCGGGGGGAGGGUAGAUCUGAAGCUUUCCCAUGCCCUGUAGCCUUGGUUACGUAACACUUGGAGAUGAGGGGAGACGGGGCCUCAAAAAAAAAAAAAAAAAAAAACCUUUUUCAGGACCAAUGAGAAAAUCACAGAUUAACUCCAGAUGGGACAGCCCAGGAGCCAGAGAGAAGCUGAAAACCCUUCAGUACGACAGGGAGCCUGGGAGCAAGUGGUCACUCAUCUGAAAGUAGCGACUGCCUGAUUUUAACACGUGUCCUUGACAUGACAGGAGCCCAGCGGCCCUGCGUACUGGCAGGCUGUUUCGGGUUGCUUUCAGGCCACGUUUCCGGAACAGCGCGACUCCUGGCGGGUUUGCGUUCCUGGGAACAGGUGUUGAACGAGGGGCUCAAAAACUUGAGUCGACUGGAGGACCAAAACAGUUUGUGUUACCGAGUGACCUUUGGUGGAGAGGGGGUGAACGUGAGGCUGCAGUGAUGGGAGAGCGAGUUUGCUUGCCAAAAACAGGUAGUGCUCCAAUCGGCCAUCUUCAAAGCAAAGCGCAGUGAUUGGCUCAAAUCCCUGAGCUGCUGGUAGCGUGUUGUACAACCUGAAGAUGGAAAUUAGCGGAGGUGCUGCCCAGAUAACAGAUCUUUUACAAUGCUUCUUCAAAGGUCUGUUAGUUAUACUGCUGAAUAUAAUUCCUGUUAAGCCACCCAAGACAUUUUAUGUUUUGUAAAUAGAAGAUGCUAGUCUCUAAGCUGCAUCGCAGGAGGAAGCCAUAUUUUAUCUUUAUGUAGUGAAUGGCGUGGGCCUGCUGCCGCUUAGCGAUGUAAGUAAAUGUGCAUCUGAACGGGAUUGAAACAGACAGGGGUUAAAUGGCUGCUUGUGUGUGCCGGUGGUGUGCGGGCUGUCAGGCCUGUAGCAAUAAUGGAGCAUGAGCGUCACGUUUGCUCUCCGGGUGUCUUUCACUCAAACACACGCACACACACACACACACACACACACACACACACACACACCACUGACUUUCUUUCUGUGGAGUGGUGGGGGAGGGGUGUGUGCAUUUCCAGUAAAAUCCACCUCGUUCCGGUUCAGAGUCAAAAUGUAAAAGCGCCCAAAGGCCGCGGGCAAAGCCGCUGAACUGCAUCUGGCCUCGUGAAGGAACAGGGCCCGUGGCAACCCCCACUGAGUCACUCACUAAAAAUAUGACAGGCGCGCCUAGCAGCAGCUUCCUGACUCUUCCUGUUGGAGUAUCACACCUUGUUGUUACUAAACCAGAGAAACCAAGAAAAAUGAUGUCUAGAGGUGUGUGUGAGCGUGCGUGCAUGUGUGCGUGCGCGUGGUCAGUAGUGAUGCGAACCGCAGGACGUCUGCAGCUACACGGCACGUGUUACAUCACUCCCCCAUUGCACCGAAUGUUGUCUCGUAUUUCUGAAGUGCUAUCUGCACCAGACAGCUUAGCGCUUGUGUUAGCGCACCAACUGCAAAGGGUGGCAAUGAGACAGGCUGCUGCAGCGUCCAGACCCGUCACCGGCAGAAUCAGGGUUCGAAUCCGCGGUGUGGCACAGCUGUAGCACCCUUAUUCACCAGUCCAUUUAAAUUUAAAGCAUCGGCUGUUUCUGUUUAUCUACGUUUUAUUGAAGCAGGUCUACAGAGUUGACCCAGGGUAUGAAGGUUUCCCAGGAAAGGCAGGGGGUUGCUUAGCCAAUCAGCUCUCAGGGGAGGGGCGACCGCACAAGGGGGCCAGAUUGGGACGCGAUGACCUUAUCGUCUCCUUUUGGUCAGCAGCCCAGGGUGUUUUAUAAUGACCGUGAGCCAGGACUUUGGCAUGGGGACUCUCCCCCCGGAGCUGCUUCAGUCCAGCUGAAUAGGUGGGCUCUUCUGAGCAGAUUAAUCAGUGAUUAGAGACCCCAGCCCUGGUACGGUAUUGUAUGUUUGUUUAUUUCAGUGUAGUCACUGAAUGAAACGUAGUUCAACGCGACCGCACUGCGGAUGACAGUGACCGCCUUCGGAGCACCGCGCGUCGCUGAUUGCCGGGUUUUAGCCGAUCUGCUCGUAACCACUACUUGAACGAGUUAGUGGAAUUGCAUUUAACAUGACAAUGCCUGGCUUGUGUCAGGAACUGUUAUGUAAGACAGAGAUUUUAUUUCCUUCUUAAAUCCCAUGUUGAAGCAGACAUGGACAAUUCUCUGACCUCUGUGUGUGUGUGUGUGUGUGUGUGUGUGUGUGUGUGAGAAUGUUUGUGUGUAUGCAUGCGUAUAUAUGUGUGUGUGAAUGCAUGUAUGCUUGCAUGGUUGUCUAUUUGUGUUUUUGCCUGCAUAUAUAUAUAUAUGUGUGUGUAUAUGCGUGCACGCGUAGGAGAGGGGAGUGAUGACCCACAGCUGUGUGUAUGCGUGCGUACAUGUUUGUGUGUGUGUGUGUGUCUGUGAGAAGGUCAACAGCUGUAUUCAGUAUUGUUUUUCAGUGUUUUGCCAAUAUGUAGGGAACUUGGAAUGCACUAAAUUAAUGUCACUUGCCAGGCAUUCUUAUCCAGGAGAACAUCGGUGUUACUCUCAGGAAUACAAAAAUGAGCCCCACAUCUCACACAAUUGAUUUCCAUUUUUAGUGCAUUCCUUCUUAAGUUUGCUCUGUAUGAUGUGGACACAAGACACAAGUUGAAAGAUUUACUGAUUAACUGUCUGUAUAUAAUAUAAUGAAUAUAAAAUGCAUACACAAUUUCUAAACUUGAAGUCUUCAAAUCUUUUCUUGGUAUUGUUGGUAUUGUUCAAACCUGUUCUUGGUAUCUGGUGUUGUUGGUCAGUAUUCAGCUAUGACAGUGCAGUAAUGUGACCUUGUGCAUGUAGUAACCCAAUCUGGCAUACGAUGUCAACAAGUACUAAUGUACUAAAUUAAAUUGUUAAAAUGGCUAACAGAAAUGGAACCUUUGGAACCGCGGAUGGUCAUGAUGACGUAGAUUUUUUGU